AUUUUUUUUUUUCCGUACGAGUUACGUUUACACAAUACCGUUUUGUCCCCCGGCCGCCGUGUAUCCUCGUUCGGUUUUCGCCGUAGUGUAUACCAAGUGUAUUCGUUUGUGGUUUCCCCCUUACUCCUCCCCCUCCCCCGGUCAAGUAUCGCGGCUCUUUAUUUUGUGAUCGUCGGUUUUCCGGUGCACGAUUUAAGAACGAUACACCAAGCAAAAAUCCGGAGCUAUUUUCCUCAUUUGUUUUUCCCUCUCACCCUCGAAAACGUGUUUCGAAACAAAGUGCGAUGCUACAGACGACGGUCCUAUAGGAAUUUAAAUCAAACCUACUAAAUGUGAGUAUCUAUUUUAUAAAUUCUAUACGUCAUGGCGUACUGCGAAUAUAUUUCCUGCAUUUAUAGAUAGGUAUGUUGUUUAGGUAUAUUUUAUAGGUCUAGCUAUAGAUAUUAGUAGGAAAAAAAAUAUAAUAAUAUUUUGUUUAGAGUGAUUCGAUAUAUUAAACAGAAGGCGAAGGUUUGCGUAGGUAAUUCGACGAUAAACGAUGUCACGUCUCGGUUAGUCGAGAGUAUUUUUUCUGUGUUUUUUUUUUUUGUUUUACUUUAAAAUGACUACCAAAAAACUCGUCAGUUUUCGAAACUCAAUGAAGCUACCAAUAUAAUAUAAUUGCAAAUGAACGCAUUGAAAUUAGUCAUUUCGAAACGUGACAGCAUUUGCAGCGUCUACGCAUUAUUUUAAUGAGAACGAAAUUUUACGAAAACCUUUCUCGGUGUAUCGACUCAAAUAAUAUUAUAUUAAUAAUAAAAUAACUGUAUUUUUGCACAAUUUGUGUCGUGUGAUAUGUUUCGUAUUAUCAAUGAGAGUGUGAUUACAUUUAGUGAUCGUUUUUAAUUUCUAAUAAAAAUUGGUGAUAAAGUAACUUGACGCUAUAAUAUUAUAUAAGUAGGUAUGUGUUAAUUCAUUUGUAAUUAUGUAAUACAAUUAUAAUUAUUAAAUAUGCAAAAUUAUUAAAAAUGGUUUUUAAUUUAGUAAUUCAAUUAUUUUUUUUAGGCACUAGGCUCUUUGUGUAUAAAUUUAUUAAGAGAAAAAAUUAAUAUUAUAUAUUUUCUUUGUUGUACUUGCCAAAAUAUACAUAUUUUUUAAACCCAUAUACUAUGUACAUUAAUGUAAUAGAUUAAUUUAAAUAUGGAAAAGUACUUCUGUAAAUGUAAUUUCAACUUCGAAUCGAUUUGGUCGCAGACGUACCACUUAAAAGAGUUCAAUAUUUUAGUUAGGAAACCUUUUUUUUUUUUUAAGAUUUUUGGUUUAAAUUGAAUUUCCGAAUUUCCCGAGAUGGUUUGAAAAGUCAUUAAAAAUUAAAUACUGUCGUAAAAUGUUUUUAAUAAAUUAAUAAAAAUAAAAUCAUAUUUCUAUAUAACUCCUUAAUCGAAUGGUUUUUUUUUCGAUUAUAAAUGUAUUUAUUAAACGCUCAUCCUUUUAAAAAUUGAAAUAAUUUCACGUAGAAUGUACAUGGUAAGUUUUAAGUUUGUUUGUUUUUGUUUGAAUAAAUCUUCUUGCAAUCAUAUUAUAUUUAUAAAUAUUGUGUUGGUAAAAGUUGAUUGUUUAUUGAAAAAAAAAAAAAUAGAUAUUUUCAUAGGGAUAAAAAUAUAAUAUUUCGAGUAUUUAAGUAUUAUUACAUAAGUAUUUAAAUUUCUAUAAGCCCAUAAAAUAUAACCUUCAGAUUAUUUAGUUUUAUGAAUAAUGAAUUGUUUUUUGUCAUUUUAAUAAAGUAAAAAUAAAAACUAAUAAUAAUUUCUUUUUAUGUGUUGCAAAAUCUUGUUGCCGACUUUAAAAUAAUAUCUGAACGCAAUUCAUUGUAAAUAACAAUUGAACCAUGUGGUAAUGAAGAUAGUCAUAUUUUAAUGACAUGCUUAACUACUUGAAGUCGUUUUCUACUCGUGUAUAACCAAGGAAAGUAUAUUUUUUGUCUUCGAACAUAAAUACAGACCCCCCUUUAAUAAAGUCUAGGAUUCUAAUCGUGUAUAUGUAUGACGUUAUAUAGUAUUAAUGAUGUAUAUUUUUGGGAGAUUUUAACAUUCAACCUCCACCCCUACUAUUUGCUAUUGGAUAGUGUUGUAUAAUCAAUCGAAUUAUUCGAGUACAUAUUGUUUUAAAAAUAAUAUUACUAUAAUACAAAAUAGGCAGCGGAGAGGUUAAUUUGGCUCUAUUACUCACAGGUGUUUAAAAGGGUACACACAUUUAUUGAGAACACUGUAAAAAAGAAAAAAACUAAAAAUUGGAAUUUGAAUAUAAUAAAUGUCUACAAUUUUAACGCGAAGUCCAUAAUUCUUGUAAUACAUUUUUUUUUCUAACAUUUACUCUUCUUUCACUCAGCCCCUGAUUUAUAUUCGUUAAAAUAUCGAAUAUUUAAGCUAAUUAGCAAAUUAUUUUAUUAAUUACAUAAUAAAAAAACGCGCGUUUAAUGGCCAAUAACGGCAUAAUAUGUAAUAUAAUAUGUUUUGUGUAUUGUGGUUUUUUUUUUUUGUAAAAAUGUUAACAUUUUCGAUUUAUUUAUUAAGGACCACUACAUGAUGUAUACACUACAGGCACCAAUUAAAUUAUAUCAAUUUAACGCUUAUAUCGAAAUCGUAAUUUUAAUUGAAAGUAAAUAUCGUUAUUUCCGUAUAAAAACUCGACUCCCCUUCCACGAAAAUAAUUACAUGGAUACAUAAUCGCUCUUCCUGCAUUUUUAUAUUUUUUACGCAAAUGUAAAUACCACAAUGUAAUUUCUGUUCAAUUAUAACUAUAAUAUAUGUUAUUGUAUAUACGCCCAUCUAAAAUAGAUAUAUAGUAUUAUAGCGCAGUGACAUCUUUAAGAUUUUGCUAAGCACGAAAAUAUUGAAUGCUUAAAAAUUUUGUUUUACGUGUACCCAGGUUAAAAAAAAAAAAAAACAAAAUCAAUUUUUAAUGUUUUUAAAAUGUUUGUAAUUAAUGUAAAAUAUUUAAUCUAUUCUAUAAUUAUCAUUUUAAUUGAAUGUCCAACUAAAAUAGGUACAGAAAAAUGCUAGGUAAUGACUAAUAAAAAAAGUUAGAAGUUACUUUUUCUGAGAUAAAUUUUAGCUUAUUAACUAGGAAGUUAAAAAAAUAAUAAUUUCAAAUAAUAACAAUUACUUUUUGAAAUAAAAACUUUUAACAUAACUUAGUUAUUUUGUUAAAACUUAAGGUCUAAAAAAUAAUUUUUAGUUUUGUAAAAAAAACUGUUCCUAUACCAAAUAUGUUUUUGCAUUUAUUAUCAAUGCAAGUUACUUUUUUUUAUGUGCAAAUUAUUAUCAAACAACAAUAUGAACAUUUUUUUAUGCAGGUUAAUGUGAUCCUCAUUUUUGACUUUACAAUUUUUAACCAAUUUCCCUGUUCCCCCAUUUUGUUUUACCUUAUCUAACCUAACCUUAAUUAUAGAAGAUCUAUGACUAUAAUAUAACAAUGAUAAAAUUUCUCAUGAAUUUAUAAUUUUCUGAACAAAUUUAUAAAAAAAAACCUUAAUUAUGUAACUAUUGAAAAACAUGUCUUUUGAUUAUAUUGACGGGUUGUUAAUUUUUAGUUUUUUUUCAAUGUUUCAUAGUUCGUCAUACCUACCUGCAGUUUUGUUCAAAUGUUUUAACCAAUAUGGACGAUCUGUUACACGUUAAAAAAAUCUCGAGUUAACAUAUACCAUAAUCCUGUUUAAGUUCUGGAUAUUAUACACUCCAAACGCUUUCUUUUAGAUACACUGCGCUACUAUUCUCUAUAUUUGUAUCAUUUUAAAAUAGCUUAACAAUUAAAAGCAUGUUGAAUCGCCAAUCUGCUCGAUCACGUGGUAAAUAAAACGUAACACCUAUAAGUGUUAUAACAGUUAUAAUCUCUUUACAAAACAGUCGAAAUAUGGCGAAAACAAUGAUAUCCAUUCGCUAUAAUAAUAUAGAGAUUUAAAUGUAGAGGUUUUUAACAAAAUAUCCGUACAAUUUUCGAACGUACUGACCGAAUAUUGUUCGGAACACUACCGUUGUGUCAUAGUGUCAUACUUCGACACGAGGAAAAUUAUUAACGAAAUUCCGUACAGGUAAUAACUGAUUAUUGUCGUAUUGGACAGAUAGGAAAAAAGAAAAAAAAAAGAGUCAAAUAUUUAAAAAUACAUUUUCGUUUUCAAAUAUUAGUUCAUUGUUUCAGUUUUGCAUUAUGGUUUAUAAAUAAAUAUCUAUAGUAUCAAAAAUUAACACUGAAUGUACUAUUUUUAGGACAAAUAGUUAAUAUUUUUAAUAUUUUAAAUUUAUUGUUUAAAAUUUGAGUUUUAAAUUUAAAAAUAAAUUGUAUACAAUUUCUUUUUUACCUUUUAUCAAAAAUAAAAGUCGCAUACAAUUUUAAAACUCUAGAGACAAAGUAUCUCUAAGACAGACUUGGUUACGCAAAAGUACUAGUUUAGUUUUUAAUAUCUGAUACUUUCAAUUCCGAAAAUCUCAUGACAGCAGAAACAAGGAUUACCAAACCUGUUCUUGAUAUCAACCUGCUUUUUGGCAUUUUUUAAUGGAUUUAUUUUCAUUUAUCAAUCGUCAUUGCAUUUGAUAAAGUGAUGAUUAUAUCCACUUUUAAAUGGUAAACUUAUAUGUAGUUUAAAACCUGAACAAUUGUUAAAUAUCAAGAUUUUUAAAUACCCAUGAGAUUAUCAUAAUAAUGUAACUAGUGAUGUUUUUAUAUAUGGUUGUAACGUUUUAUAAAAUGUUUACGCACUUAUAAACAAUCUCGUAUUCAUAAUUACAAUAUUCAUAAAAAUUAUCGUAGAUCGGCUCGAAGCUUUUCAGGUAGUUAUAGUUGUCGUCGACGUCGUCUUAAAAAGCGGAAAGGACCUUUCGGUUGUGAUUUUAAAAGUUUGUUUCCGUGCGUCCGUUAUCUUGCUCAGUGCAAUCUGUAUUCUAUGGUUAUCCGUUGUUAAAAUACUGUAUAAUGUAACGAAGCAAAAUGUUUACAGAAAAUUGCAUCAUCAAAACACGAAAAAUGUUUAUAGGUAAAAAAAUUUUAGUAUAGUUAUUAAAGGUAUGUGUAAUUUACACACGUUUUAUUAUCCCGAUUAUUAUUACACAUAUGCUUUUUUUUCGCUUUUAUAACACGAAUAUUUUAGUAUUUGGAAUAAAAUAAAAGUUUUUUUUAUAUGCUUACGCCCUUACCCAAUCAUAGAUAACAAUACUUAAUUGUUAGCUAUAAUUAUUUUUAUCAAAAGUUUAAUAAUAUAAACAAUUUAAAUAUUCAUAAAAAAGCUAAUUCAUUAUAAAACAAGUUUAACAUCCGGAUACGAGUAAUUAAAUAAUUUUCUAUAAAUUUGAUUUAUAUAGUUGAUAAGCUAUCUAAUUAUUUGAGUGAUUAUAAGUAGAUAGGCUUAAUUUACAAAUUACGUUGAACAUUAGACACUAUCAUUUGUACUCUAUUGCCGGUCGGGAGUCGGCUUCCAUCAUAACAAUCGUCAGGGAGACACUUUUUCCAAUGGUUUAUUAAAUUAAAACUGAAACCAAAAAAUGUGUUGAAUUGGAAUUUAAAAUAGAAGUCAAAAAAAAAAUGAUCUGUAUCAGUUAUUUACCAGUAUUAUUAAUCAAAACCAAUAAUACGCUAGAAUUUUAUCACAUUAAUAAAAGGCUGCUGUAAGUAUUCUGUGAACAUUUUAGAUCUCUACAAUUAUUUUUAAUCUAAUUACGACAAAAUACAUUUUCCCAUUUUCCCUGCGGUUUUUCGGGUCUUCCUAAUUAUUAUAAAAACUACAAGUAAAAUCCAAAAAUGACUUCUUAACGAACCAACUAAAUUCGAAAUACAAAAAAAAUGGUCUCUAACCAUUUUAUGAUUGGAAUAAAGUUUUUGGUAGAACAGUUGUUCACAAAUACAAAACAAAACAAUUCUCAUUACGCUUAGAAUAAUAUUUUUUGAAAUGGAAUUAUUUUACUAUUAAAACGUAAAAAACGACGAACAUAUCAAAUUAAAUAAAUACAAUAAGAAGAUAAUCAUACAUUUACGCAAUAUUUUAAUAGAAUAUAGAUUAUGGAAUACAAAUCAGGAUACGUGUAUGUUCUGUAUAUUUAGUCGAUUAUCGUAUAGUGAAAACAUUAAUCUACUAUCUUAUUAUACGGCGACAAAAUUAACUUUAAAAUUUGAAUAAAAUUGACCACAGUUUUCGAAAACUUUGUUGUGAAUUUGGCUAGCCUUAAAUUAUAUAAUUCUAAUCUGUGUCAAUUAAAUGAUCAAUUUAAUACAAUUUCACCUUACUUUUCAAGAAAAAAUGAACUGGGUAGAAAAAUGUAAGUGUGUUAUUUUAUCUUUUUUUUAACCGUUCGUCAUAUAUAUAUAUUCAAAUUACCAUAACAAAUCAAUGUAUUAAAAUAAAUGCAUAGUUAAGUAUUUUAUCAGAAAAUUAUUAUACAUUAGGAAAUAUCUCGUAAAGAAACUUUUUAUAGAUAAUUUAAGUUAUACAUUUAAAGUAUUGUGGAUUUUAAUUUAAAUGCAACAGUUUUUGAAAUAAAUUCAAAAACAAUCAAUCAACUUUCUUUGGUCAUUUUUAAAUCUUUUUGAGACACGUGGAGGGGUUGAGCACUAUCACUAAAUAUCACCAAAAUUAUUCUCUUAUAUUGACAAACAAAAUGGUGGGGUGGGAUGCUUGAUGUAAAUUAUUUAAUUUAUUUUUUAUCUAUAGAAUAUAGACCAUAUUAAUGUAGAUAUAUAGAAUAUCCCCUUGAGUUUUUACAAAAACAUCGACGGGGAGACAAAAAAGUACUUGGAAAUCAAUACGAGCGAAUAAUUCAAAUAAAUUGAAAUUGAAAAUUUUAUUUAGCAUACAUUUGAGAAUUUUUUUUGUUGGCCCAUUCUCCCUUCAAUGUCACAUAUGGGACACCCAAGGCAGCCUUGUAUUAUAAUUAUUCUUAUACAAGUCUAUAUAUUAGAAAAUAAAAUACGUGUAUAAGUGCAUAAUAUAGGGUAAUUUGAAAAAAAGUAUGUUUUAACUUUUAAACUUGACUAAAUGACUUACUAUUUUCUUGAAAAUUUAUAACUUAACGUAAUAAAUGAAACUUAUUUAUAUUUUUAAAUUACCUUUAACUUAGCUUAAAUGUUUUUUUUACAAGAUCACUUAACUUGUACUAGUUGAACAAAUUGAUUAAAUUGCCUAACUUUAGGUAAUGGUUAUAGAUAAUUUAUAAUAUACUUAAAUUAUAACUUAUAGAAUGUAAUUUAAAAUCCUUCAUUUUAUGGCGAUUCAGAUAUGGAUUUCAUUUUUAAUUACUAUAUGUACAAACACAUUAAAUUGUUGAUUUUUCUGACUAAAAUAUAAAGAAAUUUAAAUUUAAAAUUAGGUGGUUACAUAAAUAAUAUAUACUGAAAAAAGGUUGUGGGUGUAGAUAUAUCUUCCUAAUUUCCCAUUCUCCCUCAUAAAUACGCCACUGAUAUAUUAUACAGUAAAAUGCUUAAGCUAUGUAGCCCCUCCUCUUUUAGGGUAUGCGUUGUAUUUAAUUCUAAUAGUAACACGGAAUAUUUCAGUCAAACGGACUUGGAUUAAAAUGGAGGAUUAGAAUGAUCGGUGUACAAAAAUAUAAAUGUUUAGUCUAUUUUCAAAAUGUUAACCCAUACAGUAUUCAUGUACGUAAUGAAAUUUACAUUUUCUUGAAUGGAAAUAUCUUUUUUAACACUAGAUUUCAACCAGAUUUUAUUUUUUUUUUCAAACCACUAUUUUUUAUUCUAUCAUUAAAAUCGCUUGAGAUACAGCUAUCUAAAGUUUAAAAAAUAGUACGAUUUUUUUCUUCUCAAUGUUUCAAUACAUUUAAAACGUAUAUGAAUUUAAUAGUGACAAAUUUGACUACCUACUAUUUUGCAGGGGGGAGGGAGGUAUAUAUAAGUAUGUAAUAUUAAUCACAAAAUUAAGUGUACAUAAUUGCAUAUGGGUACAUUUAAAAUUUUCUAAUAAACAGAGGAAUAAAUCGUUUUAUUUUUAAUCGACAUUUGAUAGUAAUAAUAUGAUUCUAGAUAAUAUUUGAGUUUAAAAAAGUAUUGAUCAAAGUCACUUAUAUAUAUAUAUCCGGAAUAUUCGGCGCUAAAAAUUUAUGUGUUCGGUUCGAUUUAUAAUUCCGCGAGGCCAAAAUAUUUCGUGUUACCAUCAUAGCCAUUCAGCGAGUGUAACUCAUAACUAUACAUAUUAUUAUAUUGUUGGAGUGUAUAUUAUUUUAUUUUACAGCUGAUAUUACAAUAAUUUAAGGACUACGGGUCGGUAUGAAAGGUUGUUAAAGAGAGAUUUACACCGUUAUUUUGGCGGGUUUGUUAUUCAAAACAGAUGUGUCGGAUAACGAUAAUAUUAACGCAUUGCAUUUUUAUUACCACUAUACAGUAUAGGUGUAGUGCGAUAUUUUAAAUUUCUUUUAGUGUGUAAAAUAAAAAAAGUUAUGGUUCGCGUAUCGCACACAUCGUCUGCAGCAUCAGCGUGCGAAAUAUGAUAUUUUUAAGAGUGAUGCUCCGUAUACGUAUCUCUUAUUAUUUUUAAGUUUUAAAAUAAAAUCCACGAUAUUAUAUUAUAUUAUAAUUGGCACAUAUAAAGUUUCUCUUAUGUAUUAAAAAACAAAAAAAAAUUAACUACCUAUCUAAACAUUGUAAAAACAAAAGUAAUUUUGAUAUCAUAAUAGUUAUUGUUUUUGUUAAUUGUUCUCGAAUUUCGUUUCCUUUUUUGUAUUUCAAUCACUGCACGCGAUUAUAACUAUGGCCGGGCAUUUUUGCAAGGAGGUCUUUUUGUAUCCAAAUAUGGACACACGUCACACAGUUACAAGUCCAUUAGACACAAACCAAUAGAGCACGGUUUUACUUAUUUUGUGCUCUAGAGAAUAAAAUUGUAAAUUAUUGAACUGGUAGAUUUUGGUAAUAAAAUAUUGCAUUUUUUAAAGAAAAAUAUAUUCUCACUGGAAAGGGGAGGAAUAACUGGGAAAACUUAAGGUAAAAGAAAAGGUUUGGUUUAUAUGUAUGUGGGGCAUUGUUAAAGGAUAUUUUGAAUUUUCAAAAUUUACCCUUAUGCUAUAAACACACUAUGUUAAUAGUAUUUACACGGGUCAAGUUGGUUAGAUGAGCUACAUUAACGUAUACGAUUUUUCUAUUUAUGUAAUGAACGAAGAACGCAAAAAAAUAUGAUUUCAUUCUUUCUUUUUGAUGCCUAUCUAUAUUUUAUCAAAAUAUGGAUAAGAUAAAAGUAGAUUAAAAGUAAAGAUUUUAUUAUUACUAACUGAAAUUUAAUUUAACAGAUAAAUAUUUGUUUGAUUGUUUUCUUUUUUGUGAUUUUUUAUCUCCCCUACCCGGAUAAGUUAUUUAACAAAAAAAAUACACAUCAUUUUCCGAUCACCGUGUAUCAGCUGCCAUCAUAUAAAUUUUGACGGGCGUCUACCGCGGUUGAAAUCAUUCGCACUUUUAUACAAUACGUCUGUAACUAUACUCAGUCGUUCAUUCUGUGCGCGUUUAGUUCUCGAUUUCAUACUCGACUUGUUUCACCGGAAAAUAUUAUUCGUCAAUAUUAUCAUAAUAUACGCCAUCGGUGUGUAUACGGAUUGUGUAUCCGAAAUAUGGUUUCACGAAUACCGCGAGACAGGCAAUCAAUCUUAUUAUGGACUGCGCGCGUUUUGUAAUAAACUAUUACUGCGGGAGCACUGAACCGUAGAAUAAUCGUUAAAGAUUAUAAAUUUAUAAACAACGCGUAUUUGUCCUCCAGUACUAAAUUCUCGUUAAAUUGAUGCCCUCCGAGAUGAUAAGAUUAAAGGCUGCUACUGCUAGGCGACGAUGUUCUGGUCGUGCUACGGAACAACCCACAGAUGCGAGACAUAUUGGAAUACUUCAAUAAGUAUGAUAUUAUUAUACUAUUAUUUUUAUUACCUCCCUUGAAAAAAUUAUGAUUAAUCUCGUGAUAAUAAAUAUUUUAAAUCGAAUUACAACAACAAAACAAAAAAAAUCUGUUUUAGGAUAAUGGAGACGGACGCAGCCACUAUUAAAGGUAUUUUAAUGUAUACCUAUGAGCAAAAAUAAACUAAUUCUAACGAAGAUUCUGAGCGGAGUUUAUUCGAUAGUAAUUCUUUAGCAACAAUAUAUAUAUAU